rnacentral:rRNA from 1 species
UACGGAGGGUGCAAGCGUUGUCCGGAAUCACUGGGCGUAAAGGGCGCGUAGGCGGCGUGUCGCGUCGGGAGUGAAAGCCCGCUGCUUAACGGCGGGUUGGCUUCCGGUACGGGCAUCGCUGGAGUGCGGCAGGGGAGACUGGAAUUCCUGGUGUAGCGGUGGAAUGCGCAGAUAUCAGGAGGAACACCGGUGGCGAAGGCGGGUCUCUGGGCCGUUACUGACGCUGAGGAGCGAAAGCGUGGGGAGCGAACAGG